rnacentral:rRNA from 1 species
GAGUAACAGGUGGAUAAUCUACCUCUCGGCGGGGGACAACGGCUGGAAACGGCCGCUAAUACCGCAUACGACCAUGAGGGCUUUGGCCUUUAUGAGGAAAGGCGCUUUCAAGCGCCGCCGGGAGAUGAGUCCGCCCCCCAUUAGCUUGUUGGCGGGAUAACAGCCCACCAAGGCUUCGAUGGGUAGCCGGACUGAGAGGUUGGCCGGCCACACUGGGACUGAGACACGGCCCAGACACCUACGGGUGGCAGCAGUAGGGAGUAUUGGACAAUGGGCGCAAGCCUGAUCCAGCCAUGCCGCGUGGAUGAUGAAGGCCUUCGGGUCGUAAAGUCCUUUUCUGAGGGAAGAACAUCCCGGGGAGGAAAUGCCCUGGGCCUGACGGUACCUCAGGAAUAAGCAACGGCUAACUCCGUGCCAGCAGCCGCGGUAAUACGGAGGUUGCAAGCGUUGUUCGGAUUUACUGGGCGUAAAGGGAGCGCAGGCGGCCUGGCCAGUCUAAAGUGAAAGCCCGGGGCUCAACCCCGGAAGUGCUUUGGAUACUACCAGGCUUGAGUACGUGAGAGGUGAGCGGAAUUCCAGGUGUAGCGGUGAAAUGCGUAGAU